rnacentral:rRNA from 1 species
ACUCCUACGGGAGGCAGCAGUAGGGAAUAUUGCACAAUGGGCGAAAGCCUGAUCCAGCAAUGCCGCGUGUGUGAAGAAGGCCUGCGGGUUGUAAAGCACUUUCAGUUGGGAAGAUUAUGACGUUACCAACAGAAGAAGCACCGGCUAACUCCGUGCCAGCAGCCGCGGUAAU